ensembl:snRNA U6 U6 spliceosomal RNA
GUGCUCACUUUGGCAGCACACAUACUAAAUUGGAAUGAUACAGAGAAGAUCAGCAUGGCCCCUGCACAAGGAUGACACGUAAAUUCGUGGAGCAUUCCAUAUUUUU